rnacentral:rRNA from 1 species
UACGGAGGGGGUUAGCGUUGUUCGGAAUGACUGGGCGUAAAGCGCGCGUAGGCGGAUCAUCAAGUCGGGGGUGAAAUCCCGGGGCUCAACCCCGGAAUGGCCUUCGAGACUGGUGGUCUUGAGUUCGAGAGAGGUGAGUGGAAUUCCGAGUGUAGAGGUGAAAUUCGUAGAUAUUCGGAGGAACACCAGUGGCGAAGGCGGCUCACUGGCUCGACACUGACGCUGAGGCGCGAAAGCGUGGGGAGCAAACAGG